rnacentral:misc_RNA from 1 species
GAUGAAGAACGUAGCGAAAUGCGAUAAGUAAUGUGAAUUGCAGAAUUCAGUGAAUCAUCGAGUCUUUGAACGCACAUUGCGCCCCCUGGUAUUCCGGGGGGCAUGCCUGUCCGAGCGUCAUUGCUGCCCUCAAGCACGGCUUGUGUGUUGGGCCCCGUCCCCUCCCCCGGGGACGGGCCCGAAAGGCAGCGGCGGCACCGCGUCCGAUCCUCGAGCGUAUGGGGCUUUGUCACCCGCUCUGUAGGCCCGGCCGGCGCCAGCCGACACCCAACUUUUAUUUCUAAGGUUGACCUCGGAUCAGGUAGGGAUACCCGCUGAACUUAAGCAUAUCAAUAGCGGAGGA